UGACAAUUGGAUGAGUGGUUUAUAUCGCUUGUUUUGAAAACAAGUAUAACAUUGUCGUUAUCGUGAGUUCGAAUCUUGCAUUGUCAG
rnacentral:tRNA from 1 species